rnacentral:tRNA from 1 species
GCCUUCGUGGUGUAUAGGUCAGUACAUUCAACGCGUAUUCGAGAGGUCCGUGGUUCGAAUCCCGGCGAAGGCA